rnacentral:rRNA from 1 species
CAAGUCGAACGCGAAAGUCCCCUUCGGGGGACAAGUAGAGUGGCGCACGGGUGAGUAACACGUAGGUAAUCUACCUUUGGAUGGGGAAUAACAACCGGAAACGGUUGCUAAUACCGCAUAAUGCAGCGGCACCUAAUGGUGACAGUUGUUAAAGCGGGGGAUCGAAAGACCUCGCGUCUGAAGAGGAGCCUGCGGCGGAUUAGCUAGUUGGUAAGGUAAUGGCUUACCAAGGCUACGAUCCGUAACCGGCCUGAGAGGGCGGUCGGUCACACUGACACUGACAUACGGGUCAGACUCCUACGGGAGGCAGCAGUCGGGAAUUUUGGGCAAUGGGCGAAAGCCUGACCCAGCAACGCCGCGUGAAGGAUGAAAUCCCUCGGGAUGUAAACUUCGCAAGAACAGGAAGAAUAAGUAGGGGACAAUACCCCCUAUGAUGACGGUACUGUUUGUAAGCUCCGGCUAACUCCGUGCCAGCAGCCGCGGUAAUACGGGGGGAGCAAGCGUUGUUCGGAUUUACUGGGCGUAAAGGGCGCGUAGGCGGUCAGCACAAGUCAGUUGUGAGAUCUCCGGGCUUAACUCGGAAAGGUCAACUGAUACUGUGCGACUAGAGUGCGGAAGGGGCAACUGGAAUUCUUGGUGUAGCGGUGAAAUGCGUAGAUAUCAAGAGGAACACCUGCGGCGAAGGCGGGUUGCUGGGCCGACACUGACGCUGAGGCGCGAAAGCCAGGGGAGCGAACGGGAUUAGAUACCCCGGUAGUCCUGGCCUUAAACGAUGAAUGCUUGGUGUCUGGGGUUAUAAAGUCCCCGGGUGCCGUCGCUAACGCUUUAAGCAUUCCGCCUGGGGGAGUACGGUCGCAAGACUGAAACUCAAAGGAAUUGACGGGGACCCGCACAAGCGGUGGAGCAUGUGGUUUAAUUCGAC